AAGAAGUGAAAGAAAGAAAGAAAGAAAGAAAAGAAAAAACAUGAAAGGAACAGAGACAGAGGGAACACCCUAAGUGCCUCUAUGCAGUCUCUUUCCUCGUUUAUUCCUUCGAAUUGCUUU
rnacentral:ribozyme from 11 species